rnacentral:rRNA from 1 species
UGCAAGUCGAACGCUUCUUUUUCCACCGGAGCUUGCUCCACCGGAAAAAGAGGAGUGGCGAACGGGUGAGUAACACGUGGGUAACCUGCCCAUCAGAAGGGGAUAACACUUGGAAACAGGUGCUAAUACCGUAUAACAAUCGAAACCGCAUGGUUUUGAUUUGAAAGGCGCUUUCGGGUGUCGCUGAUGGAUGGACCCGCGGUGCAUUAGCUAGUUGGUGAGGUAACGGCUCACCAAGGCGACGAUGCAUAGCCGACCUGAGAGGGUGAUCGGCCACAUUGGGACUGAGACACGGCCCAAACUCCUACGGGAGGCAGCAGUAGGGAAUCUUCGGCAAUGGACGAAAGUCUGACCGAGCAACGCCGCGUGAGUGAAGAAGGUUUUCGGAUCGUAAAACUCUGUUGUUAGAGAAGAACAAGGAUGAGAGUAACUGUUCAUCCCUUGACGGUAUCUAACCAGAAAGCCACGGCUAACUACGUGCCAGCAC